rnacentral:rRNA from 1 species
UACGUAGGGUGCGAGCGUUGUCCGGAAUUAUUGGGCGUAAAGGGCUCGUAGGCGGUUUGUCGCGUCGGGAGUGAAAUCAUCUGGCUUAACUGGGUGCUUGCUUUCGAUACGGGCAGACUAGAGGUAUGCAGGGGAGAACGGAAUUCCUGGUGUAGCGGUGAAAUGCGCAGAUAUCAGGAGGAACACCGAUGGCGAAGGCAGAUCUCUGGGCCGUAACUGACGCUGAGGAGCGAAAGCGUGGGGAGCGAACAGG